rnacentral:rRNA from 1 species
UGAACGCUAGCUACAGGCUUAACACAUGCAAGUCGAGGGGCAUCAGGAAGAAAGCUUGCUUUCUUUGCUGGCGACCGGCGCACGGGUGAGUAACACGUAUCCAACCUGCCCUUUACUCGGGGAUAGCCUUUCGAAAGAAAGAUUAAUACCCGAUAGCAUAAUGAUUCCGCAUGGUUUCAUUAUUAAAGGAUUCCGGUAAAGGAUGGGGAUGCGUUCCAUUAGGUUGUUGGUGAGGUAACGGCCCACCAAGCCUUCGAUGGAUAGGGGUUCUGAGAGGAAGGUCCCCCACAUUGGAACUGAGACACGGUCCAAACUCCUACGGGAGGCAGCAGUGAGGAAUAUUGGUCAAUGGGCGCUAGCCUGAACCAGCCAAGUAGCGUGAAGGAUGAAGGCUCUAUGGGUCGUAAACUUCUUUUAUAUAAGAAUAAAGUGCAGUAUGUAUACUGUUUUGUAUGUAUUAUAUGAAUAAGGAUCGGCUAACUCCGUGCCAGCAGCCGCGGUAAUACGGAGGAUCCGAGCGUUAUCCGGAUUUAUUGGGUUUAAAGGGAGCGUAGGUGGACUGGUAAGUCAGUUGUGAAAGUUUGCGGCUCAACCGUAAAAUUGCAGUUGAUACUGUCAGUCUUGAGUACAGUAGAGGUGGGCGGAAUUCGUGGUGUAGCGGUGAAAUGCUUAGAUAUCACGAAGAACUCCGAUUGCGAAGGCAGCUCACUGGACUGCAACUGACACUGAUGCUCGAAAGUGUGGGUAUCAAACAGGAUUAGAUACCCUGGUAGUCCACACAGUAAACGAUGAAUACUCGCUGUUUGCGAUAUACAGUAAGCGGCCAAGCGAAAGCAUUAAGUAUUCCACCUGGGGAGUACGCCGGCAACGGUGAAACUCAAAGGAAUUGACGGGGGCCCGCACAAGCGGAGGAACAUGUGGUUUAAUUCGAUGAUACGCGAGGAACCUUACCCGGGCUUAAAUUGCAGUGGAAUGAUGUGGAAACAUGUCAGUGAGCAAUCACCGCUGUGAAGGUGCUGCAUGGUUGUCGUCAGCUCGUGCCGUGAGGUGUCGGCUUAAGUGCCAUAACGAGCGCAACCCUUAUCUUUAGUUACUAACAGGUUAUGCUGAGGACUCUAGAGAGACUGCCGUCGUAAGAUGUGAGGAAGGUGGGGAUGACGUCAAAUCAGCACGGCCCUUACGUCCGGGGCUACACACGUGUUACAAUGGGGGGUACAGAAGGCAGCUAGCGGGUGACCGUAUGCUAAUCCCAAAAUCCUCUCUCAGUUCGGAUCGAAGUCUGCAACCCGACUUCGUGAAGCUGGAUUCGCUAGUAAUCGCGCAUCAGCCACGGCGCGGUGAAUACGUUCCCGGGCCUUGUACACACCGCCCGUCAAGCCAUGGGAGCCGGGGGUACCUGAAGUACGUAACCGCAAGGAUCGUCCUAGGGUAAAACUGGUGACA